rnacentral:lncRNA from 1 species
CCUUUGUCUCUCAAACUCUCUCAAGUCGUCUCUGAAACCCUAGCCCCUUUUCCACUGGUUUCCGCCUUAUCUCACCGGAAACCAUGGCCUCUCAAGCCCUGGGUAGCCUGUACUCACUCCCCCGUGCCCUAAUACUCUUGUUAUGAGAAAUUCCAAGGUCCAACCUUAAAGACCAUGGCUCAGAAUCCCUCCGAUUCAGGUUCUAUGGCCAUCUCGUGCUCAUCUCCGGCGUAUCCUAGCCUUGCGAGAUCAUCUCCAACUCGGACCAGCCCUUUCAGGCCUUUCUCAUUUUUCUAGGGUUUCUCUGAAACCCUAAGCCAUUUUUGAGAUAUUCUUGUUCUUCUCUAGACAUACCUUAAAUAUGUGCUAUUUCUAAGAUUUUCAAAGUUUUUCUUACCUCUUUUCCGAUUUUUUCUUUCAAAACGGUUCGUCUUCUAGAACCUAGGUUUUCCUUGAUUUUUAUAUGUUCUGCUGUGAUUUCCUACAUUAUUUCUCCUUACUAUAACUCCUAAAUAUUUUUACUAUGAUUUCUAUGUAUUUUCUUUACUAUAUUUUCCUCCUAGGGUUUCUAGUGAUUUCUUUUACUGUGUUUGCUUCGAUGAAAUGUUUGUGUUCUUUGGGUUUUCCUGAGUUUAUUUUAUCUGAUUUUCUAUGUUUCGUCUUUGCAUGUAAGUUGUGGGGGAAAACCCUAAAUUUUGGGGGUUUUCAACCAUUCAUGUACAAUUGUUUUGAUUCUUGUGUUGUUUCCUGUCUGAUUUCAAAAACCCUAAUCUCCAUAUUCUUCUCAUGUUCUCUGAUUCUUACUAAGCUUUGCAAGACCCUCUGAUUUCUUGCAUAGCUAUGUUCUUCUAUUUCUGAUUGCAUGACCACUCUAUGUAUUUAAUUUUAGACUCUGCAUGUUUAAUCUUAUGCAUCCUUUAUGGUCAGACCUUUUCCUCUCAAAAUAACCCUAAUUUUUGGGGAUUGAUUUCAGACCACCAUUCUGUGAGUCUGUUUGAAGUUUUCCAUGUCUAAUUUGGACCAGUUUUCUGACUUAAUUCAGUGUUGAGUUCGAAUCCUUAAUUCCUUAAUUUACUACGUGUUAUUAAUUUUAUUAUUACCUUGUUUAUCCAAAUUGUGUACUUUUAAAACUUCCUUUAUGUAUUUACCUUUUUACUACACAAUGUGUUUUUGAUUUUCUGUCCUUAAAUAAAAAAAUUCUACCCUCUCCUAUUCAGAUUCGAACUCCUUAAUUAAAGGAGUUCUCUUCUCCUGAUUGAUUAUGAUUGAUAAUGAACUAUUUCUUGCCUUGUUUAAUUUCCUAUUUUCAACUAUAAAUACCUCACUCUUUUUCUUUAAAACAGACGAACAAUUGAGUUCAAAAACACACACACACUCAAAGCUCUCUUCUUUACUAUUAUUUGUGCUAUUGUUCUGACUAGCCGGCAGAAAGCCAAGGCUAGACUUUGGAAUCUCUCUUGCUUUCCUCAAGUGUUUGCUGAAGAUUUCUUGGCUAUUUUCUUACUUUGUUUGUUCUGCUAUUUGAAAGUUGCAACUGGUAUGUCCCUUUAAGUUAAACACUCUCCACAACUAUGUUUUUAAUUCUCCUUUUUGCAUGUCCCUCACUAUAUGUUCAUCUUUCUCGCACUAUGUAAUUGUGUUUUAGACUGUUAUGUUCAUUCUUCAUGUUUCUGCAUCUUUAAGUUAUAUUACUUGAGGUUUUUCCAUGUGAACCCUUUCCCUGACCCCUUUAUGUGUGAGUACUAUUCUAGGUUAGGAUAGCAUCCCAUUGCUAUCCAUGACCUGGAACCAGGUCCUUUUGGACCCUUACUCAAAUCAGUCACAUUCCCUUCUCCCCUUUAUGUGUUGAGCCUUGACUAGGGUUUGGAUGUGUCCUAAACACCACCAAAGCCCAUGUCUGACUUCUAAAUUCUGUUCUUUAUCUGUUUAAACCAAGUGGAGGGUCAGGGGUGUGCCAGUCUUACCCAUGGCUGGGUAUNNNNNNNNNNNNNNNNNNNNNNNNNNNNNNNNNNNNNNNNNNNNNNNNNNNNNNNNNNNNNNNNNNNNNNNNNNNNNNNNNNNNNNNNNNNNNNNNNNNNNNNNNNNNNNNNNNNNNNNNNNNNNNNNNNNNNNNNNNNNNNNNNNNNNNNNNNNNNNNNNNNNNNNNNNNNNNNNNNNNNNNNNNNNNNNNNNNNNNNNNNNNNNNNNNNNNNNNNNNNNNNNNNNNNNNNNNNNNNNNNNNNNNNNNNNNNNNNNNNNNNNNNNNNNNNNNNNNNNNNNNNNNNNNNNNNNNNNNNNNNNNNNNNNNNNNNNNNNNNNNNNNNNNNNNNNNNNNNNNNNNNNNNNNNNNNNNNNNNNNNNNNNNNNNNNNNNNNNNNNNNNNNNNNNNNNNNNNNNNNNNNNNNNNNNNNNNNNNNNNNNNNNNNNNNNNNNNNNNNNNNNNNNNNNNNNNNNNNNNNNNNNNNNNNNNNNNNNNNNNNNNNNNNNNNNNNNNNNNNNNNNNNNNNNNNNNNNNNNNNNNNNNNNNNNNNNNNNNNNNNNNNNNAAGUUCAACCCCCCCCCCCAUGGUAAGCCAUGCUUAGGAGACCCUAGAGUUCUCUCUAACCUUAUAUGCCUAAGGGCUGGUAAUUCCACACAUUGUACUACUCUAUUACAACAUUCAGUCUUUAAAGUGUAAGCAUUGCCUGAGUUCCUGAAAGCCCUUGGAACUUUAAAACACUCUAAGAGAAGGCCUUGGAAUCUUGAAUCCGGAUUUGGUGAAACACGUGUAUUGGAUGUUGAAGGUUGCACUGAGCCUCCUCAGGUCUGGCUUUAGUUUUGAUGUACUUACUUCAGUCUUUUUCUUUCCAGUUUCGUAAUAACUAUGUAAUAAAACUCGGGAAAAAUAUUAGUAAAGGUUUUGGGAUGGGUUUAUAUUUCUUGCAUAAGUCAAUAGGUAGAAUUCAUGUCUAUAGGACCUUUUAUGCUUUAAUCAUCUAUAUACUAUGCCUAUGGGAUUCUAAUAUUGCAUAUCAUUUAGAAAUCAUGUCUAUAGGAUCUUUCAUGCUUCAAUCAUCUAGUAACCAUGCCUAUAGGACUUUAAUAUUGCAAAGCAUCUAGACGCCAUGCCUAUAGGACUUUAAUAUUGCAAAUCACUUAGAAAUUAUGCCAAUAGGAUUCUAAUAUUGCAAAUCAUUUGGAGUCAUGUCUGUAGGACUGUGCAUUGUAGUUAAAAUAGAGAUCCUGCCUAUAUGAAACGCAUAAAACAUUAGGCAAACCAAAGGGUAACUCUCUCACAUGCUUUAAAAAUUCAAUGUAGACAUUAUGACUAUAGGAUUCCAUCUCAACUUGUUUGGUUCAUUUUAAACAAUAACAGUCCGUUAAUUGGCCCUUUAAUGUAGUAAUACAAUGUUUUCAAUAAAACUCUUGUAAAUCAGUAUGCUUUUAAAAACAUUUCAAAUCUGCAUCUUUUCCUAAACAGUUCUUUUAAACAUUCUGCCUAAAUGUUUUACUUAGUCACUGAAAUCGUCUUUGAAAUAGUCCUGUAACUCGCUCUUUUUCUUGAGAUAUUCCUCCCUCUGAAACUAUUUCAUACAGUCCCUGAGAUUGUCUUUUAAAUAGUCCUGUAAUUCAUUCUUUUCUUAAGACAUUCCGGCCUCUAAAAAUCUUUCAUAACUCUGCUGCAUUUUUUUCUUUUCUACUCAAACAGUCUGUUGUUUCAAAAUCCAUUUACAAAUUUACUGCAGUCUUUACUUGCUUUUAACUCUUCUACAUUAAGACCUCAAUAACUAACAAAUCAGACCCGAUGGGCUCAAUGUAGACUUUUAUUCAACUUUAUGAGUUAAAUUGAUUCAUCCCCCUCGUAAUUUCUUAACUUUACAGACCAAACCAGUUCGUGCAAUUCAUGCUAAACUAAUUGAUGUUAUGAUCUAUGGAGUUUUGUGUGAGCCUUUGAAUGUUUGAUUUGUACCCCCCUUAUUUUUUAUUUGUUUGUAUUUACGCUUUAGUAUUUUAUCCUUUUAAACUCCAUAUAUGCUGCCAUCCAUUUUCUUCCCCCUUUAGAAUAGAAGUCCUAAUACCCCGGGACUGAUAGGUCGGGACGGGUAUUAGCAUGUAAUAAGUAAACGAGUCUAAUCGCGUUUAAAUACCUUAACAGGGUGGGAAAGGCAGAAUAUAGAGAUGAUGAUGAUGCCUAAUAUCUCGUGUGAGAAAGAUUGCUGGGUAUUGCACUGAAUGACCCAUAUUAUAAUUAAACCUAGGACUCCUUCUUUUCUUGCUUUUCCUUUAUUUAAAUUAAUAUUUUCUUCAAACUAAGCUUUCUUUUCACUUGUGCCUUUCUUCUUUCAAAAUUGUUAACUUUAUUAUGUGCAAACUUUGCUUGUUUAUUCCUACUCUUCUUAAAGUAACAACUAAGCAUAGCCGAGAACCACAUACUGGAUCUUGAGGGGUGCCUAACACCUUCCCCUCGAGAUAAUCUCAAGCCAUUACCCGAACUGUGGUUUUUCUUUCAAAAUUAUCUUCUUUUAAGUGUCCUAGUGCACUAUAAUCAUUAGGUGGCGACUCUCCAAACUCCAUUGCCCAAAUUCCCCAAAAGUGGGAUAAAUGAGUCAUUCCACCCAUAAUGUCGUAAUCCCGAUUUCUCCUUGGAAAAGAGGGGCCGUCGACAGCAUGGUGACUCUGUUGGGGAUUUUCUAUAAGGCUUUUACCAUUACUUAUUUUUGUGACAUUAUCGCUUCCUUAAUCGCAUUUAUUUCUCGUCCUUGGUUAUUUCAUCAUAUAACUAACUUGGCUCUUCAUGUUUUCCUUUCCUUUUAAUAUCCGCCUUACUGCCUUAUUAUUUCAAUAUUAUUAAAAAUUCGAGCAACCAUUGUAUUCAUUUAUCUUAUGAACGUGAAAAUAUGUGUAAUUUGUUUCAUUAUUAUAACUGCAUUCCUCAACAUCAUAUGCCACUCGUGCCAAAACAAAUCCUAUAGCAACGCUUAUAAUGAAUGGUUGCGCCCUUCAGAUAUUAUAAACCCCCUAAAUGUGGCAAAGGCAUAUUUGCGGUAAAAUUAGUCGAUCAAUGAUCUAGUCGACGGUUCCGCGCCUUUCCCUCUUGAGUUGUACGCUAAAGGGUACCUUGCAUAGCACUUCAAAAGUAGAAACUUUAUUCCAUUAAACCGUUCAUGCAUCAUGGUCAACCCUAGCCAAGUCAGUUAUAUUGUCCACAUAAUGACUCCUAAGAUAGCCUAAACAAAGUCCAUCGGGUUUUCUCGAAACCCAAACAGACGCCUUCACGUUAUAUGCAUUUAUUUGGAGAACUAAAUUCCUUUUUCUAAUUAUUGAUUUAAAUAGUCGAGUCUGCUGGGGUUAAGGGCCUAACACUUUAUUUUGCAGAAAAUGAGUCACGAGGUCCCCAGAUUCGGUUUGGUAUCCAACGUUCACCCAACGUUACUCAGCCGGUCGGAAGAUCUUCAUGGCAGUGAUCAAACCCUCAUCCACAAGAACUUAGGGAAUUUGCCCUCACUUUUGGAAAUCCAGCCCAACAAUAAGAUCAUUGGGAUUGACACAUUGUUUUGGGAUAGUGAUCGAUCAGUGUUCCGCUUUGGAGACUUGAAAAUUAACCCUUUUUCCAGAAGAGAUAGGGGGCCUAGUUGGUAUCCCUAGGGAGACUCCGGGUUUGCUUAUGCCGGAAAACCAAAAAGGUAGAGGCUUUUUUUAAUAUGAUGGGACUCAAGAAAAAUCCCGGCCUCUCUUGCUUGAAGGACGUCUACAUACCAUUUGACUUCUUGUACGAGAGAUAUGGUCACAGCAAGUCCUAUCGCACCUACAUGGACGAAUUCACUCUCACUUCUUUGGGACAUAUACAUAGAAGGGUCUUUAUGUUCAUGUUUUGCUUCUUGGGCAUGGUAAUUUUUCCUAUGAAGAAGGCUAGGAUCCACAACAGACUAGCCAUGGUGACCAAGACCUUAAUGGAAGGAAUCGACGAGCAGUCUUUCCGCAUAGUACCUAUGAUCAUCGCUGAAAUCUAUCAAGACUUGGGAAAGUGUCCGCAAGGGGCUCCAUAUUUCGAGGGUUGUAAUCUGCUACUUCAACUUUGGCUCACUGAACACCUUCAGAAAGGCGACUACAGAUAGGAAAUCAUAGGCAUGGAUUGGGAUGACCCUAUCGUUUUUCAUCACCCAAAGUGAAUGAACUUUAUGCCCAACAUGUUCGCUCAGCCAGAGGACGCUAGUGGAUGGGUAGAGUUGUUCGAGAAUCUAAAGGAAGAGCAAACUUAGUGGAUGUUCGAGUGGUUCCCAACAGGGGAAUUCAUUGUCCGUUCUCGAGACGCACCAUUCCUCAUACUCAUCGGUCUGAGGGGAACUCAUCCUUAUGUCCCCCUCCGAGUCAUGACGCAAGCCGGAAGGAAACAAAUCAUACCCGGGAUAGAGAAGAUGAGUCAUUUCAGGGCUGAAUUUUAAGAUGACGAUAGCCCGCACAGGUGUCACGCUCAGCAUAUGUGGCAUUGCAAGCUCGUCUUAGAAGAAGAGUCUAUCGAACCAGAUAGGUAUCAUGCUGGGUGUGUGCCGCACUACAGAGGCCAUAAGACAAGCUGGAAGAAACCAAAUCAUACCCAGGAUAGAGAACAUGAGUCAUUUCAAGGCUGACUUUCAAGAUGAUGAUAGCCCGCACAGGUGUCACGCUCAGCAUAUAUGGCACUGCAAUCUAGUCUUAGGGAAGGAGUCUACUGAACUAGACAGGUAUAAUGACGGGUGUGUGCCGCACUACACAAGUUGGUUGGAAGAUGAUCACAUUGGUUUGGGUUGUCCAGGGUUUUUCCAUGGUCAUUGGAUUAUUGAUGAGAAAAUUGAAGCGCAAGUACAAUAACCUACACAAGAGGAUGCGAGAAUGUGAGAAUGAACAUCGGGAAAUACAAGAAUCCCACGAGAAGUUGAUCAACGAAUGGAAAAAUAUGGAUGUCAAAGCCAACAGCUCGCUUGGGUAUCUGGAGCGAGGUCUAGUAGAGUUGGAAGGAAAGUUCUUGAAAAGAAUCAAAGACAGCUAGAAUGCUGAAGGAAGUGCAGGCGGACAUCUGGCUCAAGCUUAUCUACUUUUAGGAAUGCGCGAGUUGAUGCUGAUGUACGAGGGAGGCAAGAGUACCGAAUCUGGGGAAGGUCCUUCUCGGACCAAGUAGCUAGGAUUUUUAUUUUUCUGCUUCAAUGUAAUAAGGCCACUGGCCAUUAGUGACGUCUUUAUCAUUCAGUUAUCUUGUUUUUAUCAAUAAAAUGAGGCAUCUAGCAUUAUAUCUCCAAAAUUAAUUUUUCCUUAGGCUUACCUUGGGCACAACGAGGCACCCAAAUUAGGAAUUGAUUUAUAUUCCUGCACAAUAUGUUUAAAUAUCGCAAUAUUAUAUUAUCACAAUUCGCACUAACUUGUUACUUUUUUUCUUUUUUUGUAUUUUUAUCCUCCCCAAGGUUAGUUUGUGCAUUCUGGCACCAUCAACAUACUCAACAAGAUCCAAGAGUCCUCCACCUCCUCCUCCUCCUCCUCCUCCAAGUCUUACCAGAAACAGGAACUAAGGCCAAAUGGGAGAUACAAGCGCUAGAAAGGAACUCGAGGAAACUUCUCAGAUUGCUGCAAUUACCAAAGAAACUGUUGCUCAUCUGGAGCAAACUCUGCUAAGAUUCUGAGAGGAAUUGGACCAAGUUAGAAACCUGGCAAGCCUAUCAAUCACUCUUGCCUCUCCUGACAUUAACAUCCACAAUCCUCACCACCACAAAACACCCCACAACCUCCAAUACCCACUCACAACACUCCACUACUUAUUCAUGAACCACAAAAUGCCACAAAAGACCAUAACGCUUGUGGACACCAUGCCACACUACAGUCAGCCAAUCACCAGUGCAUCCGAGUCAGAUGACAAGAGUUCCCUCAAUCAGAAUUUGGCCGCUUAGAUCAAGAAGUUGACUAGUCAAGUUCAAGGUUUCGAAGGUAACAAAGGUGCCGAAGGGUUGAAUUAUGAAGACCUCUAUGUUCAGCCAGAUGUUGAGCUCCCGGAAGGGUACAAACCUCCCAAGUUCGAAAUGUUCGAUGGUACAGGUGAUCCCAGGGUCCACUUGAGAAUGUAUUAUGACAAGUUUGUAGGAGUCGGAAGGGACGAGAAAAUGUACAUGAAGGUGUUCAUAAGGAGUUUGAAGGGUGAUGCUUUAUCCUGGUAUAUUAGCCAGGAUGCGAAGAAAUGGACUAGUUGGGUGAACAUGGCAUAUGACUUUAUGGACCGGUUUAGGUUCAAUUCUGAAAAUGCAGCAGAUGUGUUCUAUAUCCAGAAUCUCAAGAAGAAGCCCACAGAGACCUUUCACGGGUAUGCUACUCGUUGGAAAUCGGAAGCUGCUAAGAUUAGACCGGCCUUGGAGGAAGAACAAAUGUACAGGUUCUUCGUUUGUGCUCAAGAUCCGUAGUACUACGACAUGCUGAUGCUAAUAGAGGGCCAAAAGUUUUUCGACAUCAUCAAGUUGGGAGAAAGGAUUGAAGAAGGCAUCAAAAACGGUAUGGUCACUAACCUCGAGGCAUUGCAGGCUACCAACAAGGCUUUACAAUCUGGAGGAUCGUCAAAGAAAAAGGAUGUAAAUUCUGUAAUAGUUGUGCAAAGGACCAAUUCCCCUAUGAAGUACCAAACCUAUCCCUCAGCUCCACUUACAUAUCAACCUACCUUAAACUACCAAGCACCAGAAGAAAAAGGAUGUAAAUUCCGUAAUGGCUGCACAAAGGAACAAUUCUCCUAUAAAGUACCAAACCUAUCCCUUAGCUCCACUUAUAUAUCAAGCUACCCUAAACUACCAAGCACCAUCACCCGCUUACUAAAUUCCACCACCUUACCAAUCAUCUCCACCACCCACAUAUCAAUCUACCUCACCCAGAUAUUCACACCUGCACCUGUAUACCAAGCAUACCUUCCCACUACCCAUCACCACCUACCAGCCAAAACUUUCCUCGACCUAGACCAAACUUCGACCGUAAACCCUCUAGACAAUAUACCGUCAUAGCCAAGCCAAUUGACCAAUUAUAUUAAAAACUCAAAGCAGUCGGUUACAUUACCUAUAUCCCAAUUGUAACUCUAGAAAAUCCUUCCUAAUGGAUCAACCCAAAAAAAAACUUGCGCAUACCAUUCCGGGAUGAAGGGUCAUACCAUCGACGAGUGUUACUCGUUUAAAAAAAAGAUUCAGAAUCUAAUUGACAACAAGAUCAUUAUACCAAAGGAUCCCGCUCCUAGUGUCCGCGACAACCGUCUAGCUAACCAAAAGGGUGGAGGCAUCCACGUGAUCUAGAUCGAAGAUGAUUGGGACCCCAAGGGGUCAAUCGGUUUGAUAGUUGAAGGAGACGAACCUAAGAAGCCAACAUUUACUCUUAAUCCCAUUAUUGUUCAGGUUCCACCCUUUGAGGAUGAUGUGGUAAAUGUGUCUAUGCCGCUCGAGUUUGAAGCACCUCCUGAAAAGGCGCCAAAACCAAUUGAGGUUGAGUUCGAGGUUCCAAAGGUGCCUACAACGUUUGAAUUCACUGUGUUACCUCUUUCAGUGUACAAUUUCUAGUCUCCAUGACAGACAUGACCCCGUUCAAAACAAAUUCUAUACCUUGGGAUUACACCGCUGAGGCUAGAAGGAAGGGAAAAACAUAUACCGGGGAAGCAAUUGCCGCACAGGGCAUGACUAGGACAGGCAGGAUAUGCACCCCGGAGCAUUUGGCUGAGUCCACCAAUCCGGUCGGGCCGUUGAAAAUGGACCCGAUGAUCGUUGGAGAAAGGUACGGGCCAAAGAGUACUCAGUCAUCGAGCAACUGAACAAAACUCCAGCACAGAUUUCUCUUCUGGCUCUUCUGAGUGAAGCUUACGUUCCCAGCAAUAUAACAGGAGGCAAAAUGGCCAAUAUGGUGAGGCAGGUACUGUAAAGCCACAAGAUCACCUUCCACGAGGAAGAAUUACCACCAGAAGGGCUUGGUCACAACAAAGCGUUGCACAUCACUACGCAAUGCGAGGAUCACUUUAUCACCGGGAUUCUAGUCGACAGGGGAUCCAGCCUCAAUAUUUGUCCAUUGAUAACUCUCAGGACAUUGGGUAACGGAUUGCACGAGAUCAAAGACGGAGCUAUCAUUGUCAAAGCUUUUGAUGGAUCUCAAAGACCCACCAUUAGAGAAAUUAGCCUAUGCCUACAGUAGGGAACCACCUGGUUUGAUGUUGAGUUCCAAUUCAUUGACGUGCCGGCAUCCUACAAUUUGUUGCUCGGACGACCCUAGAUCCAUGCUAAUGGGGCUGUGGCAUCAACUUUGCAUCAAGCUUUAAAAUUUGAAUGGGAUCAUCAGGAAGUAAUCAUUCAUGGCGACGGUAGCAACCCUACAUACAGUCGCCAGGCCAUCUUGAUGAUCGGAGGAAGAAUGAAAUUAGGUGGAGAAACACACCAUCACAUCGAGCGAGUCAACGCCAUAGACAAAUACAAGUGGUGGGAUAACAAAAUUGAGUGCAUUCUGAAUUGGAGCGGAUACGAGCCCGGAAAAGGAAUUGGCAAGAAUCUCGAGGGCAUCACCAAGCCUAUCAAAUUGAAGAAGCAUGGUACCACUUUUGUCCUGGGGUAUGAGUACACCUGGGAGGCGUUCAACCAUUGGUCACCACUGUGGCGUAGUCCAUACUACCCACUAGAGCACCCUCUACCUCAGUUAAAGAAGACCUUUCAGCCAGAUGACAUCAUAUAUGGAUCAGAGGAAGAUGAGACACUGGCAGUAAUCAAGAACCUGUUUCUAGAGAAUGAUAUGGAUUGUUGUGUUAUGUUUGAGGAGGAAGAGGAGGAAGGUCCUUCCAUUCAAGCUGCGAACCAAGGGUAACACCCAGUGCCUGGAGAGCCUCAGGGUAGCAAGGCUAAACGACGCAUAUGCAUCACAUUUUACUUUUAGUUGAUUUUACUUUUCCGCAUUAUCUUUACUUUUGAAAAGAGCUCCGAUGUUUCAGACAAUCAUGAAUUUAAUCAAAAGCAUUUUCCAAGUUAAUCUUUAUAUCUCGCUCUUAUUUUCUCUACCAUUUACUUUAUUUUACACAACCUUACUAUUACAUAUCUUGAUGAUGAACCAACAACUGUAACUUGCAACAAGACAAUGCGACAAACAGACAUAGAUUUAGAAGAGGACGAAAUACUAUAAGAAGUUGUCAGAGAGGUCGAGAAUUCUGAGAACGGGCCUAAGUAUAACUUGGACGAAACUGAGGUUGUUAAUCUAGGAGACUCAGAAAAUGCCAACUAAACACGUAUCAGCGUACACUUGUCGCCAUCAGAAAAGAAAGAGUACACAAAGUUUUUUAAAGAAUAUGAGGAUAUAUUUGCCUAUUCGUAUGAUGAUAUGACAAGUCUCAGCACAUCCAUUAUGGCUCACAAGCUGCCGACAGACCCAACAUGCCCACCAGUAAAACAGAAACUCAGAAAGUUCAAGCCAGACAUGAGUUUGAAAAUCAAAGAAGAGGUUACCAAGAAAGACAAAGCCAUGCUUCUCAAUGUGGUAGAGUAUCCAAUAUGGUUAGCCAACAUCGUGCCGGUAACAAAGAAGGAUGGGAAGGUUAGAGUCUGUGUCGAAUAAUAGGGUCCUCAAAGUGGUAGAAUAUCCAACAUGGUUAUCCAACAUCGUGCCGGUACCAAAGAAGGAUGGAAAGGUUAGAGUCUGUGUCGACUACUGGGAUCUCAAUCAGGCCAGUCCUAAGGACGAUUUCCCUUUACCAAAUAUACACAUAUUGAUUGAUAACUGCGCCAAACAUGAGCUGCAUUCAUUCAUCAAUUGUUUUGUUGGAUACCACCAGAUAUUGAUGGAUGAAGAAGAUGCAUAGAAAACGGCAUUCAUCACGCCGUGGAGAAUGUAAUAUUACAGAAUAAUGCCGUUUGGAUUGAAGAAUGUUGGUGCUACCUACAUGAGAUCCAUGACCACCAUCUUUCAUGAUAUGAUACAUAAAGAAAUUGAGGUGUAUGUAGACGAUGUCUUCAUUAGAUCCAAGAAAGUUGUAGAUCAUAUGGAAGAUUUGAGAAAAUUCUUUAACAGACGAAGGAGAUACAACUUAAAACUAAACCCCGCCAAGUGCACAUUCGGGGUCCUAGCUGGAAAGUUGUUGGGUUUCAUUGUGAGUCACCAGGGAAUAGAAUUGGAUCCAUCAAAAGUCAAAGCCAUUCACGUUUUCCACCGCCAAGUAACAAGAAAUAUGUAAUGAGUUUUCUGGGGAGACUCAGCUAUAUCGGCCGAUUCAUAGAUCAAUCAACUGUCAUUUGUGAACCAGUCUUCAAGAUGCUAAAAAAGGAUACCGCCACUAAAUGGACUGAGGAUUGUCAAAAGGCUUUUGACAGAAUCAAGGAAUACUUGUCGACACCGCCCGUCUUUGUUCCACCCGAGCCAGAGAGGCCUCUAUUGCUUUAUCUUGCAGUAUUUGGUGGGGCAUUUGGUUGUGUUUUAGGACAACAUGAUGAAACAGGAAGAAAGAAGCAAGUCCGCCAGUCUUGGUUCCACCCGAGCCAGGGAGACCUCUAUUACUUUAUCUUGUAGUAUUGGAUGGGGUAUUUGAUUGCGUUUUGGGACAACAUGAUGAAAUGGGGGGAGAAAGGAUAAAUCCAUCUACUACCUCGGCAAGAAGUUUACCCCGUACGAGGCUCGGUAUUCCUUAUUAGAACACACUUGUUGUGCUCUAACCUAGGUAGCUUAGAAAUUAAGGCUCUAUUUCUGUGCUUACACCACUUAUCUCAUAUCCAGGAUGGACCCAUGGAAAUAUCUCUUUCAGAAAACCAUGCGUACCCGUAAACUCGGCAAAUGGAUAAACUAAGGCAUUACUUCUGCGCUUACACCACUUAUCUCAUAUCCAGGACGGAUUCAUUGAAAUAUAUCUAUUAGAAUCCCAUGCCCACCGACAAGCUCGCCAAGUGGCAGAUACUAUUAAGUGAGUUUGGACAUUGUUUAUGUUACCCAAAAGGCAGUAAAAGGACAAGCUCUGGAAGAUCACCUCGCCGAGAACCCUCUAGGAGGAGAAUACGAACCACUAAAGACAUAUUUUCCUGAUGAAGAGGUAGCUUUCAUAUGAGAAGACAUUGCAAAUCUUAUGAUGGUUGGAGGAUGUUUUUCGACGGACCCGCAUAUUUCAAAGGAGUUGGUAUAGGAGCGGUCUUGGUAUCAGAAACCGGUCUGCAUUACCCAGUAUCCGCCAAACUUAGAUUCACAUGCACCGACAACAUGACCGAGUAUGAAGCCUGCAUCUUGGGGCUCAAAUUGGCAAUUGACAUGAACAUUCUGGAACUAUUAGUGAUCGUAGACUCGAACCUACUCAAACAUCAGGUUCGAGAAGAAUGGGUGACCAAGAAUUCCAAGAUACUCCCUUACCUACACCAUAUGCAAGAGUUGAGGAAAAGAUUCAGAAAUACGGAAUUCCAGCACGUUCCCAGAACACAGAAUGAGUUCGCCGUUGCCUUAGCCAUUUUAUUGUCCAUGAUCUAGCAUCCAGAUACAAACUUUAUUGAUCCUAUCCAGUUCAAGAUUCACGACCAACCAGCUUAUUGUGCUCACAUUGAGGAAGAAGCCAAUGGGAAACCUUGGUUCCAUGAUAUCAGAGAACACUUGAAAACAAGAGAGUACCAAAGCUUGCCAAUGCUACUUAGAAAUGCACACUUCGAAGAUUGUCCAACAACUUCUUUCACAGCGGAGGAAUCCUGUAUAGGAGGACUCCCGAUCUGGGAUUAUAAAGAUGUGUCGAGGCAAUAGAAGAAACCAAACUAUUGGAGGAAGUGCACGCAGGAACCUGCGGACCACAUAUGAAUGGUUUUGUUUUGGCAAAGAAGAUACUCCGAGCAGGGUAUUUUUGGAUGACUAUGGAAACCGACUGCAUCCAGUAUGUCAAGAAAUUCCACCUUUGUCAGAUAAAUGCGGAUAUGAUAAAAGUACAUCCAAACGAGCGUACUGUAAUAAGCUCACCAUGGUCGUUCGCUGCUUGGGGGAUGGUUGUUAUUGGACCAAUCGAACCAGCCGCGUCAAACGGACACAGGUUCAUUUUAGUGGCAAUUGAUUAAUUUACCAAAUGGGUUGAAGCAGCAUCAUACAAAGCAGUCACCAAGAAAGUAGCAACAAGUUUUGUCUGUGAUCGUAUGGUUUGCUGGUUCGGGAUUUCGGAAUCAAUCAUCACCGACAACGGUUCCAAUCUCAACAGCGACCUGAUGAAAGCAAUAUGUGAAACCUUCAAUAUUAAACACAAGAACUAUAUGGCUUACAGACCUUAUAUAAAUGGAGUUGUAGAAGCAGCCAAUAAGAACAUCAAGAAGAUACUAAGGAAGAUGAUCGAAAAGCACAAGCAGUGGCAUGAGAAGUUGUUGAUCGCCUUACUGGGUUAUCGUACCACGGUCCACAUGUCAAUUGGGGCCACUCCCUACAUGUUGGUUUAUUGUACACAGGCAGUCAUCCCCCCCGAGGUACAAAUUCCGUCCCUGAGGGUCAUACAAGAAGUAGAGUUAGAUGAUGCAGAAUGGGUCAAGAAUUGCUAUGAGCAAUUAGCCCUCAUAGACGGAAAGAGAAUGAAUGUUGUAUGUCACGGUCAAUUAUAUCAGAACAGACCCCAGAGCCAUCAACAAGAGAGUCAAGCCAAGGAAGUUCACGCCAGGAUAGCUGGUAUUGAAAAAAAUAUUUUUGCACCAAGAUGAAGCAAAAGGGAAGUUCUCUCCUAAUUGGCAGGGUCCGUUCAUGGUUCAUCGGAAUCUAACUGGAGGAGCCCUCACUCUUGCAGAAAUGAAUAGAUAAGUCUGGCCGAAGCCAAUAAACUCAGACGCAGUGAAAAGAUACUACAUUUGAUCAUAUGUUUUUUCUCUCAUGAUGUAAUUUGAACUACGCCUGACCUGAUUCCCGUUUAAGAGGGGAUACGUAGGCAGCCCUAUGGGUUCAGUCACAUCAUUAAUAAAAUUCCAUUUUCCCCCGCAAUUGGAACUGGGCAAAAUUUUGAGGAGGACCCUCAAAAUUCCGAAGUAGGUUUUCAGCCUUUUCAUCUACACCAACCCAAUAAACUGGGGUAGAAUUUUGAGAAGGGCCCUCAAAAUUAUGGAAUCAUCCCGCGUUCAGUUAUCCAGCACAGCCGUCAGCACCGCCACCCCAGUAACAUGGGGCAGAAUUUUGAGGAAGACCCUCAAAAUUUCGGAGCAAGCAAGGUCGUCGUGUCUUGAACCACGUUGCAGUUAUUGGUUCAUCCAAAUUAAAAUAAUAUAUAUAUAUNNNNNNNNNNNNNNNNNNNNNNNNNNNNNNNNNNNNNNNNNNNNNNNNNNNNNNNNNNNNNNNNNNNNNNNNNNNNNNNNNNNNNNNNNNNNNNNNNNNNNAUAUAUGUAUGUAUGUAUGUAUUUGCAUUUGCAAGUCAUGCACAACGCUACCCCUGUGAUGCGCGACGCCAAGAGACGGAGGAUACGAACUAACCUCACCUCUGCAAAACUCACAACUUUUCUUUGGAUACAGGAAUUCAGUCCAUGAAUCAAAGUAUAUUUGCUCUUCAGAAUCCAAAUCCUCUGAAGGAUCACUAUCCACACCCAACACUCCCCAGCAGUCCCAACAUCGCAAACCGUCUACUAGCUAAGAAAACUUACUACUAUUUGUUCUUUUACAUUCCUGCAUUGCAUAAGGCUAUUUUCUUCCAUUCUAGACUAAGUUCUAUCUCCGUCUGCAUUUUGCAUAAUGCUACUCUCUACCUUCCGAGGUUAAGCGCUACCUCCAUAUUGCAUAAGGCUAUUUAUCUGCCUUUCGAGACUAAGCUCUAUCUCCAUCUACAUCGCAUAAGGCUACUCUCUGCCUUUUGAGGUUAAGCUCUAACUCCAUAUUGGAUAAGGCUAUUAUCUGCCUUUCGAGACUAAGCUCUGUCUCCAUCUGCAUCGCGUAAGGCUACUCUCUGCCUUACGAGGUUAAGCCCUACCUCCAUAUUGCAUAAGGCUAUUAUCUGCCUUUCAAGGCUAAGCUCUGUCUCCAUCUGCAUUUUUGCAUAAGGCUACUCUCUGCCUUCUGAGGUUAAGUUCUACCUCCAUAUUGUGCAAGGCUAUUAUCUGCCUUUCGAGACUAAGCCAUGUCUCCAUCUGCAUUUUGCAUAAGGCUACUCUCCACCUUCCGAGUUUAAGAUCUACCUCCAUUUUGCAUAACGCUACUCUCUGCCUUCCGAGGUUAAGCUCUACCUCCAUAUUGCAUAAGGCUAUUUAUCUGCUUUUUGAGACUAAGUUCUGCCUCCAUUUGCAUCGCAUGAAAUAUCGCCGCUUUAUUUUCCGACUGGAUGAAACAUCUCCACCUGCAUUUUAAAUUCUCAUUCGGCUAAAAAAUCACCACCUAUUUUUUAAAUUCUCGCUCUGGCUGAAAGAUCGCCAUCCUUUGCAUUCAUUUGGCUGAAAGAUUGCCACCUCCUCAUGGGCUGAAAGAUCGCACACUCGUUCAAAGGCGUCAUAGUUCGGAGGCACCAUCGGCAUAGCCAAGAACAUCAUUUCAUGGCCCAGGACAUCAUAUUCUAAGGACGUCAUCCUAAUCGUCCGAAGACAAAUAUUCAUGGUCUAAUGGGAACUUGCAUCACGUUUAAAUUACGCAAUAUAUAUGCACAUAACCCAUUUGUAGGUACUCCGGGUGGCUCAUGUCCGUCUUAGUAGGAGCGAUCCCGCUCCAGUUCUCCGCAGCCUGUCCGAUUCUAAGCACCCUCUCAGGCCUAACCAUCGCGUACGUCUUUCCGAAUUUCCAUCGGCAUAUUCUGUCAAUGGUUCCUGAACUACAUAUGGUCUCAUUCUUGUAAGAGAUAUGUAGGAAGCUCAAAAGCUAGAGCACGGUCAAAAUCCGUUCACAUUUGCCUUUUCCGGUCAAUAUUGGCCAUCUUAUCUUUACCCGACAACUCUUUUAUCCCACUCGGAUAAGGAGGGGCAACUAUUUAUGCCCAAUUUUUUCCCUAUGUAUUUUUAUAUUCAAAAUAGUAUGUAUAUGCAUAUUUAAACGUCCCCAAAGGUUCUGGUAUUUUUCCAAAAUAUUUUAAGAUUAUUAAAACCAAUUUGUGGCCUAUUUUGCACUAUAAAAUCCAAUAAUUAUUCCCAAAACUUGUCAUUUUGGUGAAUAAUUUAUUUUAUUCUCACAUUUACACAAAAUAUAAUUUACACAAUUUUUUACACAAUUUUACAAGUGCAUUUGGCAUUUUUAAACUAAAAUUGCAUGAAAUUGCAAUUUUAGCCUAUUUCUCGAUUUAAUAGAAUUUUUAAUCACAAAAUCAUUCCCAAUAUUUUUAAAUUAAUACUUACAUGUUUUUUAUUAAAUUAGUAUUUUUAAUUUGAUUUUAAACAGCUUUUACUAUUUUUUAUAAAUUCAAAAUAGGAAAAUUGGUUAUUAAAAUUAUAGCCUCUUUUGCUUUCAAUUAUAACCCAAUUUCAAUCCCAAUCUACCCCUAAUUAAAUAACCCAAUUUCAAAUUUUACCUGACCCAGACCCAAUCAAAUGAACCCGACCAACGCACCCCUGAAUCUCGACCGUUUUGAUCAUUUAGAUCAACAAUCCAUGUUAGCCCCUUCCUUUUUUAACCCACAACCAAUCCUAACCCCCUCAUUUCUCAUUUCAUCAACCACCUCUAAACCCUUCAUCUCUCAAACUCUCUCAAGUCUUCUCCGAAACCCUAGCCCUUUUUCCACCGGUUUCCGCCUUAUCUCGUCGGAAACCAUGGCCUCCCAAGCCCUGGGUGGCCUGUACUCACCCCCAUGUGCCCUUAUACUCAUGUUACGUGAAGUUCCAAGGUCCAACCUUGAAGACCCUGGCUCAGAAUCCCUCUGAUUCAGGUUCUAUGGCCAUUUCCGGUUCAUCUACGGUGUAUCCUAGCCUUGCGAAAUCAUCUCCGACUCGGACCAGCCCUUUCAGGCCUUUCUCAUUUUUCUAGGGUUUCUCUGAAACCCUAAGCCAUUUUCGAGAUAUUCUUGUUCUUCUCUAGAUAUACCUUAAAUAUGUGCUAUUUCUAAGAUUUUGUUCUUACAUAUUUUCCAAUUUUUUUUUUCAAAACGGUUCGUCUUCUAGAACCUAGGUUUUCCUUGAUUUUUAUAUGUUCUACUGCGAUUUCUUACAUUAUUUUGCCUUACAGUAACUCCUAAAUGUUUUCACCAUGAUUCUGUGUAUUUUCUUUACUGUAUUUUCUUCAUAUGGUUUCUAGUGAUUUCUUUUACUCUGCUUUCUUAUAUGAAAUGUCUGUGUUCUUUGGGUUUUUCUGAGUUUAUUUUGCCUGAUUUUCUAUGCUUCGUCUUUGCAUGUAAGCUGUGGGGAAAAACCCUAAAUUUUGGGAUUUUUACCAUUCGUGUACGAUUGUUUUGAUUCUUGUGUUGUUUCCUAUCUGAUUUCAAAAACCUCUGAUUUAUCGCAUACUUAUUUUCUUCUAUUUCCGAUUGCAUGACCACUCUUUGUGUUUAAAUUUAGCCUCUGCAUGUUUAAGCUUAUGCAUCCUUUAUAGUCAGACCUUUCUCUCUCAAAAUAACCUUAAUUUUCGGAGAUUGAUUUCAGACCACCAUUAUGUGAGACUAUUUGAAUUUUUCCUUGUCUAAUUUGAACCAAUUUUCGGACAUAAUUCAGCAUUGAGUUCGAACCCUUAAUUCCUUAAUUUACUACUUGUUAAUUGAUUUUAUUCUUACCUUAUUUAUCUAAACCGUGUACUUUUAAAACUUCCCUUAUGUAUUUACACUUUUACUACAUAAUGUGUUCUUUAUUUUCUUUUCUUAAAUAAAAAAAUAUACCCUCUCCUAUUCAGAUUCGAACUCCUUAAUUAAAGGAGUUCUCUUCUUAUGAUUGAUUAUGAUUGAUACUGGACUAUUUCUUGCCUUGUUCACCUGGCUGUUUUGAUCUAUUAAUACCUCACUCUUUUUUUUAAAAAACAGACGAACAAUUGAGUUCAAAAAUACAGACACACACUCAAAGCUCUGUUCUUUACUAUUAUUUGUGCUAUUGUUCUGACUAGCCGGAUGAAAGCCAAGGCGAGACUUUGGAAUCUCUCUUGAUUUUCUCAAGUGUUUGCUGAAGAUUUCCUUGCUGUUUUCUUACUUUGUUAGUUCUGCUGUUUGAAAGUUGCAAUUGGUAUGUCCCUUAAAGUUAAACACUCUCCACAACUAUGUGUUUAAUUCUCCUUUUUGCAUGUCCCUCACUAUAUUUUCAGCUUUCUCGCACUAUGUAAUUGUGUUUUAGUCUGCUAUGUUCAUUCUUCAUGAUUUUGCAUCUUUAAGUUCGGUUACUUGAGGUUUUUCCAUGUGAACCCUUUCCCCUGACCCAUUUAUCUGUGAGUAUUGUUCUAGGUUAGGGUAGCAUCCCAUUGCUAUCCAUGACCUGGGACCAGGUCCUUUUGAACACUUACUCAAAUUAGUCCCAUUCCAUUCUCCCCUCUAUGUGUUGAGCCUUAACUAGGGUUUGGAGGUGUCCUAAUCACCACCCAGGCCCUUGUCUAAUUUCUAAAGUCUGCUCUUUAUCUGUUUAUACCAAGUGGAGGGUCAGGGGUGUGUCAGUCUUACCCAUGGCUAGGUAUGACCACCCUUUGCUUUGGUUUCCCCUAGUCCCCUCACUUUACACUUAUUCUUAGUUCUUUAAGUUC